rnacentral:tRNA from 1 species
UCCGGUAUGGUGUAACGGCUAACAUUGCCGCCUUUCAACUUGCAUGCAAGCGGAGUGCGCGGCAGCUCGGGGUUCGAUUCCCCGUACCGGAA